CUUUGUAGCUUUCUGUGAGGAGCUCCAACUCUUCAUCCGGUUUAUCUGGUAUGGAUCGAUUGAUACAUACAGAUUCUUCACAAUAAUGUCAUUGGAGCACGGCGCCACGGACAGAGCAAGAUGUCUGGCCUUAUUCUCGAACUCAAAACUUGGAGAUUCAGAUGAAUAUGGUACUAAUGGCACAGCAGAAGAAGGCAAACUCUUUCAAUGAUGCUGCAAGUGUUAAAUGGUGGUUAGGUAACCAAAUAGUGCAUAAUUUUCUUAAAAGUCCAAUGAAAGCUUUUGGGAUGCUGUCCACACCAGUUGAGAUGUCUUCAAUUGCCUGAAUACUGCCUGUUUGAAGGUGAUCCACUGUAGUAGAAAUGAAAUCUUCAUAGACAUUGUAGUGAUCAGCUGCUAAAA